rnacentral:rRNA from 1 species
CCCAUGAGCAGGAUGAAGCGAAAGUAAAAUUUCGUGGAGGUCCGAACCCACGAGCGUUGAAAAGCUCGGGGAUGACUUGUGGGUAGCGGUGAAAUUCCAAUCGAGCCCGGAGAUAGCUGGUUCUCCCCGAAAUAGCUUUAGGGCUAGCCUCAAGGUGAGAGAUACGGAGGUAGAGCACUGAAUGUCCUAGGGGGUAUUGCACCUACCGAAGACUAUCAAACUCCGAAUGCCGUCAUCUUAUACUUGGGAGUCAGACUGUGGGUGAUAAGAUUCAUAGUCGAAAGGGCAACAGCCCAGAUCGUCAGCUAAGGUCCCUAAAUGUAAGUUAAGUGGUAAAGGAUGUGGGAUUGCACAGACAACCAGGAUGUUGGCUUAGAAGCAGCCACUCAUUCAAAGAGUGCGUAAUAGCUCACUGGUCGAGUGAUCCUGCGCCGAAGAUUUCCGGGGCUAAAACUUACUACCGAAGCUACGGCAUCAGUAAUGAUGGGUAGGGGAGCUUCCCAUA